rnacentral:rRNA from 1 species
UACGAAGGGGGCUAGCGUUGUUCGGAAUCACUGGGCGUAAAGCGCACGUAGGCGGAUCUUUAAGUCAGGGGUGAAAUCCCGAGGCUCAACCUCGGAACUGCCUUUGAUACUGGGGAUCUCGAGUCCGGGAGAGGUGUGUGGAACUGCGAGUGUAGAGGUGAAAUUCGUAGAUAUUCGCAAGAACACCAGUGGCGAAGGCGGCUCACUGGCCCGGAACUGACGCUGAGGUGCGAAAGCGUGGGGAGCAAACAGG